rnacentral:rRNA from 1 species
UAGGGAAUCUUCCACAAUGGACGCAAGUCUGAUGGAGCAACGCCGCGUGAGUGAAGAAGGUUUUCGGAUCGUAAAGCUCUGUUGUUGGUGAAGAAGGAUAGAGGCAGUAACUGGUCUUUAUUUGACGGUAAUCAACCAGAAAGUCACGGCUAACUACGUGCCAGCAGCCGCGGUAAUACGUAGGUGGCAAGCGUUGUCCGGAUUUAUUGGGCGUAAAGCGAGGGCAGGCGGAAUGAUAAGUCUGAUGUGAAAACCCACGGCUCAACCGUGGAACUGCAUCGGAAACUGUCAUUCUGGAGUACAGAAGAGGAGAGUGGAAUUCCAUGUGUAGCGGUGGAAUGCGUAGAUAUAUGGAAGAGCACCAGUGGCGAAGGCGGCUCUCUGGUCUGCAACUGACGCUGAGGCUCGAAAGCAUGGGUAGCGAACAGG